rnacentral:lncRNA from 1 species
UCGCCGUGUAGCGCAAGCCCUAGCCGGACAAACGCAGACGGCUUGAGCGCGCGAUCGGUUUGCUUCGACAGCGACAGCCUCUUUUUCCCUCGAUUUUUACACGCCAACGGGCAUUCCCACGUGCGCGCGGCUGACUCGCGNGUUAAAUGAAGCCUAAAUAGGGGGAAGGGAGAAAAAAGAAAGAGGGAAAAAAAAAACCCGCGAUCGCUUUUGCUGCGCGGGGGCGGCGUGCGAAAGCUGCGCAAUUUUGCGCGCCCUCUGCGCAAGCAAGGCGCCUUCCCCCCCCCCCGAUCUUUUUUCGGCUCGAAGCGAGGGGGGGGUGGCUUGUCCCUUCCGCCUGCGCUGCGCAUCCGAGGUAGACCCCGAGGUAACGGAGGGAAGGAGAAGAAAAGGGCGCCUUCGCCUCCGCGGGGGCGCAAGGGGUUCGCAGCCCCAGGCGGCUUCCAGGCCAGCAGGGCUCAGCAGCAGCAGCACAGAACCGAAAGGAGGCGGGAGAGCGGGGGGGGAGGUAUAAAUCUCCUACGCGCUCUUUCCUUCCCCCCCACCCGCGGCCAGACAGACGGACAGACAGACCGACUUCCCCCACUGCGCUCAUGCGCUUUGGCACGAUGUAACCCCCCUCCCGAGGAGGAGGCGUCUCCCGAGGUGCAACAGGCCCCCUUUUUGCCGCGCGCGCGCUUUGCAGCGCCUCCCUCCGCCUCCUCCUUUGUGGGCGCCGUGCCGUUUGCAACCAGGCGCCCCUUCCCCCCGCCCGCUUCUUUCCCCUGCGCGGCUGAGACCAGGCAGCAACUCAUCGCACUGGUGGCGAGCGAGCGAGCAGAGCAGCAGCCGCCGCCGCCGCCGCCGCCGNGAGGGAGGGAGNGAGGGGGGAGGCAGGAGGGAGGGAGGGGGGCAGCCUUGUACCGCUUUAAGCAGCCUUGCCCAUUGUUCGCCGCUCGGCCAAUGGGCGCCCCGCUCUCCUCCGCGGGCGCCCAAUCCCGGCUGGGCAGGGGAGGGCGCGCGCCGCCCCCUUCAUCUAUAUUAAAGCUAGUGGCGCCGCGUGAGCUUCCCACUGGCUCCUCCGUCCAAAGCCAUCUUUGCAUUGUUCCGGCCUCUUGCCUCCUCCUCCUCCUCCCAGGCGCGCGCCGUCGGACCUCCACGGGCUUUCUGGGUGCCGUUCUGCUCUCCCGGCGGGGUCUCGUCCUUGCUUCCUCCGAGCUCGCUUCGCGCCGUCUCGCCCGCCCAUCCGCAGCCAGCCAUGUCAGACACAGUGGUGGACACCAGCUCCGAGAUCCCCACCAAGGAGUUGAAAGAGAAGAAGGAAGUUGUUGA